AACGAACGCUGGCGGCAGGCUUAACACAUGCAAGUCGAACGCGUGUAGCAAUACACGAGUGGCGCACGGGUGAGUAACGCGUGGAUAUCUGCCUUUUGGUUCGGAAUAACCCCGGGAAACUGGGGCUAAUACCGGACGGUUCCUACGGGAUAAAGAUUUAUCGCCAAAAGAUGAGUCCGCGUACGGUUAGCUAGUUGGUGGGGUAAUGGCUCACCAAGGCGACGAUCGUUAGCUGGUCUGAGAGGACGAUCAGCCACACUGGGACUGAGACACGGGCCAGACUCCUACGGGAGGCAGCAGUGGGGAAUAUUGGACAAUGGGGGCAACCCUGAUCCAGCCAUGCCGCGUGAGUGAUGAAGGCCUUCGGGUUGUAAAGCUCUUUUGGCGGGGACGAUGAUGACGGUACCCGCAGAAUAAGCCCCGGCUAACUUCGUGCCAGCCGCCGCUGUAAUAC
rnacentral:rRNA from 1 species